UUAUGGAGGAUAUAAAUUGAUUUGUGCAUUCAGCCCAGCCAGAGCCAACAUGAAGACAGCCACAGUCUUGGUUCUGGUGACUUUGAUUGCCAUGGAGAUGGACAAGGCCUGUGCUCUGUCUUCUCACGGAGGCAUCUGAUGAAGCAGUGCAGAGAACACAGGGAUGUCAGAAGGAAAAGGAUCCCUCGGGACGAACUAUGGCCUCCCAUCCACCAUGGUCAGCCUUCCAUAGCCAUGGAUAUAUUCCCAUAGUUUCAUUCCUUCCCCAAAGACCUGGAAACAUUGUCAUCAGUGCUAUACCCAUUUUCCUUAUGAUUCCAGACCAAUGGACACUUGAACUUCUCUGAUAUUUAACCCCCAAAUGAUUCUCACAAACUAAAUGUUUCCAUGGACUCAUGAUUAGUUCCUUGUAGUGCUUUUUGUUCAAAUAAUGUGUGUGCUUAUAAACCCAGAAAUAAAUUACCAAAUACCUU